GCAAAAAGACCCCUCCACCUCGGGAGGAUUCUCCUACUGAUGAUUAGCCUGUUUCUCUUUCUAGCUCCACUGUGCCUUCUGGACAGCAGGGAAACAGUACAAGGAUGCUGCACCACGACUGUUUUGGAAAAGAAGAAGGAACACUCACUCCACUGAAAUUGCCAAAGUCCAGGAAUUCUUGACUAGAAAG